rnacentral:rRNA from 1 species
GACGAACGCUGGCGGCGUGCCUAAUACAUGCAAGUAGAACGCUGAAGGAGGAGCUUGCUUCUCUGGAUGAGUUGCGAACGGGUGAGUAACGCGUAGGUAACCUGCCUGGUAGCGGGGGAUAACUAUUGGAAACGAUAGCUAAUACCGCAUAAUAGUAGAUGUUGCAUGACAUUUGCUUAAAAGGUGCAAUUGCAUCACUACCAGAUGGACCUGCGUUGUAUUAGCUAGUUGGUGGGGUAACGGCUCACCAAGGCGACGAUACAUAGCCGACCUGAGAGGGUGAUCGGCCACACUGGGACUGAGACACGGCCCAGACUCCUACGGGAGGCAGCAGUAGGGAAUCUUCGGCAAUGGACGGAAGUCUGACCGAGCAACGCCGCGUGAGUGAAGAAGGUUGUCGGAUCGUAAAGCUCUGUUGUAAGAGAAGAACGAGUGUGAGAGUGGAAAGUUCACACUGUGACGGUAUCUGACCAGAAAGGGACGGCUAACUACGUG